GAAGAUCUGUCUCCUCUCCACCUGUUUCUUUUCCUUCUUGGAAAGACCUCCAGCUUGACGAGGUCUUUGGCAAGGAAAAAGGAGGCCCCGAGGGCCAUGCACAUCCUUCUGGGGCUCCUUUCUCACCGGAGAUCCGUUUGACGAGGCCUCCAGCAACAAAAAGAGGCCCAUAAGGUCGCGCAUGGCCCUCCAAGUCUCCUUUCUCAUCAGCAAAACACUUGAAGAUUGUGUCCCAUUUUCAAAAAGCCUUUGCUGGUAGGAACAGAGCUUCAGAGGCAGGCACCUGCUCCUCCCAAGCUCCGCUGGUGCCAACAAAAGCUUUUUGCAAAGGGCUGCCAAAAACUACAGGAACACAAUCUCCCUGAAGGCUUCAGCAAGGAAACAGCAAAUGGAGAGAAGGCUUGAAGGACCGAAGCCUUCCCUCCAUUUGCCUCCAGGCCUCAAUUCACAAAGAAUAGAGGCCUAAAGUGCGAGAUCACACAGAUCUCGUGCUACUGAUCUCGCAUGAUCACGAGCUAUUUUUCUCUGCAAAUGCACUGAAAGCCUGAAGCUGUGAAGCAGGCAAAGAAAGUGUGACAAAGAGGAGAUCUUAGCAAGUUGCCCGUUUAGUUCUUAGAGAGGAAGCUGGUUUAGAUCCAACCGAUUUUAAGAAGAGGAUUGUUUUUGCCUUUGGAAAAGCUCUGUGGCUAUUGUAUCCAUCCAUCACCUUUCUGAAGAAGAUCAUCCUUUCUUCCUGAGGAACAGAACAUCCAUUGGGACAUCACACAUUUUUUUUUUUAAUGAAGAGAGAUAGUUUGAUGUAACGGCUAACGUAUCAGGCUAAAAACCUGGAGACUAUGAGUUCCUGUCCCACCCUCAGCAUGAAGCCAGCUGGAUGACUCUGGGCCAGUUAUUCUCUCUCAGCCCGAGAUAACAGAGAUUAAGAUGAUGACCACUUCUAUUUCAUGGUCGUAGCUGCCAUCUUGACUUCAGGGUGGAACCACAGCACUCAAGUUCAUCUGCUUCUCCUACCUUGUUAAUGGAAUCCCAGAUAGUGUGAUUUAUGUAGAAAGCAAGAGGCCCAAGGUUUUCAAGGGUUGAUUCAUCCCAGGAGGCAGGAGAUCUGUGUCACAUGGAAAUAGGUGUUAGAUAGUGAUGGUGUGCAAUAUUAUUGUACAGGAUACAGCUCAUAGCCAGAAAAACAAAAACUAAUAAUUAGGUAAAUGUGCAAUUCUGACUCUGAAGACAUUUUGAAAGAUCUGUUUUUUAACAUUUUAUACUUUGAAGGAGUCUAUAAAAAUAAACUUCGAGCUAUGCUCUGUUCCCAUUAAUUCAAUGGUACUCCAAAUUAUCAUCCUUGUGUGUCCCUGUAUUUCAUAGUAGUAAUUAACCUUAGUACAGUCUUUGACCGGCAUAACCCCAUAUUGAUAAAUAUAUAUACACUUAGUUGGUAACUAAGCAGGACUUCCAUUCAUUUCUGUUUGCCAUAUGCCUUUCUAUCCACUCAAAAGCUAACCAAUGUUUGGUGUCCACUAUGGGGUGUUCCCACAAUCUAGUUUGUGUACCCGGGCAUGGGUGGGGUGUUCUGCAAACCUGCAGAAUUCCAAAGGGCUAUUUUUUCUUUUCUUUUCUUUUCUUUUUGCCUUUGUGUUAGUGUUGACUCCUGGUGACUGCCAAGACAAGUCCCUGCAGGAUCUAUGGAAGAUUUCAGAAGCGGUUUGCCACUGCCUCCCUCUUAGGACUGAUAGAGUGCUGUGGAUGAAGGUUGCUCUGCUAGUUUUGUGUUCAGGGGAGAACAGAAUUCUGGGUCGCCUGGGAUGCCUUAACCUGAUUUUCAAAGGGCUAAUAUCCCCUCAUCUCUAUAGAGAUUGCCAAUUAUACAAAAUAAGAGGAAGACAGAACAGAACAACAGAGUUGGAGGGGACCUAGGAAGUCUUCUAGUCGAACCCCCUGCUCAAGCAGAAGACCUUAUACUAUUCCAGUCAAGUGGCUGUUCUGUCUCUUCUUAAAAGUCUCCAGUGGUGGAGCAUCCACAACAGGCAAGCUGUUCCACUGGAUAAUUGUUCACACUGUUAGGAAAUUUCUCCUUAGUUCUAAGUUCUCUCCUUGAUGAGUUUCCAUCAUUUGCUCCUUGUCUUGCCUUCAAGUGCUUUGGAAAAUAGGUUGGCCCUCUCUUCUUUGUGCCAGCCCCUCAAAUAUUGGAACACUGCUAUGUCUCCCCUAGUCCUUCUUUUCAUUAGACUAGACAUAUCCAAUUCCUACAAUCAUUCUUCAUAUAUUUUAGCCUCCUGCCCCUUAAUAAUCUUUGUUGCUUUUCUCUGCAUUCUUUUAGGAGUCUCAACAUCUUUUUUAUAAUAUGGUAUUCCAAGUGUGGUCUUACUAAGGCUUACUAACAUUUCACGUAAUCUUGAUCUAUCUCUUUGUUAAUAUGGCCUAGGAUUGCAUUGGCUUUUCUGGCUGCUGCCACACACCGCUGGCUCAUAUUUACCGUAUAUACUCGAAUAUAAGCCGAUCCGAGUAUAAGCCGAGGUCCCCAAUUUUACCCCAAAAAACUGGGGUAAACUGGGGACUCGAGUAUAAGCCGAGGGUGGGAAAUGAGGCAGCUACCGGUCGGGGAAACCCUCCCUCCCUCAGCCGAGAAGGCUGGCGGCUCCCCCGCCCCGCCCUCUCACUGCACCGGCAGGGCUUCCCCGCGCUAAUGCAAAAGCCCGCCAAGUUUGCGCCAUCCGGUAUAAUGUGAAAAAAAGAAGAAAAAAAAAACCUCGAGUAUAAGCCGUAUAUACUCGAGUAUAAGCCGAGGGGACGUUUUUCAGCACAAAAAACGUGCUGAAAAACUCGGCUUAUACUCGAGUAUAUACGGUAAGUGAUUUUGAGAAUUUCCUGUUUGUGUGAUAAAAAAAAUGGAUUUUUUUCUAUUUUUAUUUUAUUAAAAAAAGUUAAAAUAUAAAACUCAAAAAAAAUGUAAGAGUAACAAAAAAAUCCACAAAACAUUAAAAAGGUGCAUAAAAAAACUAACACAUAUUCAUUAAUAUGUGUAUUAAAAAUUGAAGUCUUGUAUUAAAAUUAGAGGGAAUGUGUUUGAAUGUUGCGUCCCCCAUCCCCACUUUUUAACUGUAGUUUUAAAACCAUCAUUUUUCAUUCUUAAAAGACUCUCACUCACCCGUAUAAGGUGUUCCCACUGGCCAGGAGCCUCCUGAGGGCUGUAAUCUGUGCAGCUGUGAGAUCUGGACACUCUUUCAAAUUCUCCAGGAUUGUCGGGUCAGAGUCUGUGAUGGUGGAUGGCUUCAUGUCACACACAAAGACUCCCAGCUUUUGGAGCUGCUCUUUGUUGAGUGAGGUAUUUUUUACUCC